rnacentral:rRNA from 1 species
GACGAACGCUGGCGGCGUGCUUAACACAUGCAAGUCGAACGGAAAGGCCCUGCUUUUGUGGGGUGCUCGAGUGGCGAACGGGUGAGUAACACGUGAGUAACCUGCCCUUGACUUUGGGAUAACUUCAGGAAACUGGGGCUAAUACCGGAUAGGAGCUCCUGCUGCAUGGUGGGGGUUGGAAAGUUUCGGCGGUUGGGGAUGGACUCGCGGCUUAUCAGCUUGUUGGUGGGGUAGUGGCUUACCAAGGCUUUGACGGGUAGCCGGCCUGAGAGGGUGACCGGCCACAGUGGGACUGAGAUGCGGCCCAGACUCCGACGGGAGGCAGCAGUGGGGAAUAUUGCACAAUGGGCGGAAGCCUGAUGCAACAACGCCGCGUGCGGGAUGACGGCCUUCGGGUUGUAAACCGCUUUCGCCUGUGACGAAGCGUGAGUGACGGUAAUGGGUAAAGAAGCACCGGCUAACUACGUG